rnacentral:piRNA from 1 species
UGCCAAAAAAGGUUUUGUUUAUCCAUUGG